GGCUGGUUACCAAGGUUACCGCCGAGAGGCCGCGUCCUCAGCUGGUCCUAGACAUGCGUGGCGUCGGGGCUGUGGCACGGUCGGGUCCGGGCUUGAAUGCACCAAGGAAAGGCCAUUUGUGGGGACAUAGCAAGAAGGCAGCUGUCUGCAAGCCAGGAGGAGAACCCUCACCAGAAACCUCACAGAAAUCGGCCAACACCCUCAUCUCGGGCUUCCAGCUUCAGAACAACGAGAAAACAAAUUUCUGUUGUGUCCUGGUUCCCAUUUGUAAUUGGCACCCUAAUGAAACCGUUUUCUGUAGCCCUGGAAAUGGCUGAAAAUGAGGGGAGGGAAAUAAAGUGCUAUAAUUCAGAGCAUGGAGCACACCUUCCUGGUUCACCUGAGCUGGAUUCGGAGAGGUAAAAUGGCCAUUACCUCGUCUAAGCUGCCACUUACAGACACAGUACAGGAUGAGGCCCAGACCCACAGAGACAACGAUGAUGGCCACAGCUAAGAUGAUCCAGAAAUUAUUCCUCCACCAGCUCAUUGCAGUGGAAUCCUGAGAAGAAUGGAGAGAGAAGAAUGAGGCUUCUGAAAAGCUUCCAAGAGAUGUUGCAUGCAAAAGAGCUCUGUGUGCAGAAGAUCACCAAGCAUGAGGCAUUAUUAAGGGCAAACCAACCAAGUUCUAUUUACAAUAGCAAGUGUCUUCUAAGAAGGGCAGCUACCGACCAGGAGAGUCCCCUAUUCUCCCUGCAGAGGAUCUGCAGAUCUGCAAAGCUGGCUGGGUUAGGAAUGAAGUUUGCUGGUAGGAACUGGGGAAUGUUGAAUUCCUCUGGGUUAUAGAAGGGGAGAAUUUGGAGUUCUGGGAGGGAAGGUGAUGAGAAGAAGGGAUGGAAAGAUGAAAAGGGAAGCCAGCAGGAUGGUGCAAAGGUGGGAGUGAACCCGAGGGCUAGAUUAGGCCUGCAGAACUUAACCUACCUUACUUGAUUUUAGUCACUUGCUUCUAGUUGAUCUUAAAACCUAUAUAGCUACUGGGGGCAGUGGCUCACACUUGUAAUCCCAGCACUUUGGGAGGCCGAGGCUGGAGGAUCACUUGAGCCCAGGAGUUCAAGACCAGCCUAGGCAACACAGCGAGACUUUCUCUCUACUGAAAAUAAAAACAAAACAAAACAAAACAAAACAAAACCAGAUGUGGCGGCAUGUGCCUGUAGUCCCAGAUACUCAGGAGGCUGAGGUGGGAGGAUGGCUUGACUCUAGGAGAUUGAGGCUGCAGUGAGCUGUGAUUACCAUCAGUGCACUCUAGCCUGGGUUAUAGAGUGAGACCCUGUCUUUAAAAAAGAAAAAAGCCUAUAGAGCUAAAAGUCAUGUAGCUAAGCAAUAUUUAACUGGACUUCCACUAGCUUCCUGCUGGAUAACAUCUCUGACAUAUAGGUCAUCAUAGUAAUGGUUGUUUAAGUUGUUUUUCAAGGGCUGGGCACGGUGGCUCACGCCUGUAAUCCCAGCACUUUGGGAGGCCAAGGUAGGCAGAUCACCUGAAGUCAGGAGUUCGAGACCAGCCUGGCCAAGAUGGUGAAACCCCGUCUCUACUAAAAAUACAGAAAUUAGCCUGGUGUGGUGGCAGGCGCCUGUAAUCCCAGCCACUCGGAAGGCUGAGGGAGAAUCAUUUGAACCCAGGAGGUAGAGGUUGCAGUGAGCCUCCAGGAUCACGCCAUUGCACUCCAGCCUGAGUGACGAGAGUGAAACUCCAUCUCAAAAAAAAAAAAAGAAAAGAAAAAAAGUUGUUUUUCAGGAACUUGGGGUCAGCUCUUAUCCAGUUCAAGCCACUUAUGACCAUCAAUCCUUCAACUUGGUCUGUGUGAGUGUCCAGUAGGUGACGUUUGAUGUCAGAGCGCCAAAAACUCCAUCUUCCAUCAUGCUAAUGCCACCAUUUUGUGAACCUGCAUCCUAUGAAGAACGAUGAAGCUUGACUAGGCUUGCACAGAUUGCCGAUGUCCUACUUUUCCCUCCAAUCACCUUCCCCACACCUUAGGCCACCUGCUUCUUUGUCCCAUAAACGUCUCUAAACCCCAUCUUCGAGGAAGUGGGUUUGAGACCUGUUUUCCCAUCUCCUCACUUGGCUGCCUCAUGAAUAAAUGCAUUCUGUGCUGCAAAACUGGUCAUCUUGGCGUGAGCCACUGAGCCUCGCUCCACUUGUCCUUCUCACUGAUGUCAGCACCAGAAAUGGCCAUGUGGAUAGUCACUGGCAACUUAAAACCCAAGUGUGCAUGGGGAAGUGCACGGCAGGGUCAUUAAAAGGAGUCCAGCCUCUCUUCUUCCCUUCUCUAUACUUUCACUUCUGGAAAAGACCGGAAACCUUGCCUCAUUCCUCUUUCUCCCAUGGCCCCAUCCCCACCCCGCUUCAGCCCAUCAGCCUCCAAAUGUAGUCCAAGUCCUCAUCUCUGUACCUGGACCAUUGCAUUUUCGCUGGCCCCUAGCCCCCACUGGGCUCCCCACUGGCUGCCAAAUACCAGUGUGACCCUGUCCCUUCCUUGCUUUAAGCCUCUCAGUAGUUUGUUUGUUUGUUUUUGAGAUGGAGUCUUGCUCUGUCACCAGGCUGGAGUGCAGUGACAUAAUCUUGGCUCACUGCAACCUCCACCUCCCGGGCUCAAACGAUUCUCCUGCCUCAGCUUCCCGAGUAGCUGGGGCUAUAGGCGCCCACCACCAUGCCCAGCUAAUUUUUGUAUUUGUAGUAGAGACAGGGUUUCACCAUGUUGGCCAGGCUGGUCUUGAUCUCUUGACCUUGUGAUCUGCCCACCUUGGCCUCCCAAAGUGCUGGGAUUAGAGGCGUGAGCCACCAUGCCCCGCCUGCCUCUCAGUAGUUAUUUACCACUGAAGCAGAGUGAAGCCUGUGCUCCACAUUGCUUCAUGGCCAAGACCUCAGGGACAAGUGGACACACCAGGCAGUGGGAGUGGAUAUGGCAAAGCCAAACCCAGAUCUCUUCUCAAAAUAAUUUUCCAGAGGGCAAAAGCAGAUGGCUACACCGAGAACUCACGCCAGCCCAACACACUUUGAUCUCGAGGCCUCUGGAAGGGAAGGUGCCUAAUGAACUACUGAAAGCCAGAGAUGCAAUGACAAAGGUACCAAGACUGGAGGUGAUCCAGGUCUUUCAUCCAAGAGCCCCAAGACGUAGCCUAAAUUCAUGCUACGGUAAUCCCAGCACUUUGGGAGGCCGAGGCGGGCGGAUCACCUGAGGUCAGGAGUUCGAGAGCAGCCUGGCCAACAUGGUGAAACUCCGUCUCUACUAAAAAUACAGAAAUUAGCCAGGUGUGGUGGCGGGUGCCUGUAAUCCCAGCUACUCAGGAGGCUGAGGCAGGAGAAUCGCUUGAACCCGGGAGGCGGUGGUUGCAGUGAGCCGAGAUCACGUCACUGCACUCCAGCCUGGGCGACAAGAGCGAAACUCCAUCUCAAAAUAAAAUAAAAAUAAAUAAAUUGACACAGUCAGUGCCUCGCUCCCACCCCCACCUCCAGCAUAGCACCAUGACAGUCUUCUCACAUAACAAGUCCCAAAACACACCAUCGGCAUCCAGAAAGUGAGAGUAACUCGUUACAGUUGAGACCUCUCACUCCCGGUCAUUAUCUCAUUUCAAUCCAAGAGGUAGACUUCUUCAUCGCCCCUGACAUACACAUGAGGAAAAGGCCCAGAGAGGUGAAGUGAUGCCUCAGGUCACUCAGCCAGUUACCAGUAGAGCAGAUCCUUCAAUGCAAGUUUUUCUCCAACCCUACACAGCAGUCGUACCAGGGCCCCAGGCUGCAAUCCCCUGGCCCAGUGCUGAUCGGUGGCUCCCAGGGACACGCCCUGAUGCCAGCGCUGGCAGAUGUCUGCUGUGAAGAGAGCAGGAAACUGUCCCUUGGAAAGCUGAGAUGCUUACCUGAACUGUGAAAGUAUCCAUAUGUGAGCAGCUAAGGAGACAGCAGUGGCUGGAGUGCUGCAGCUCAGGCACAGCUGGUGAGAGGCAUUCCUCACUCACAGGCCUUCACCCACUGCUAGAGACAGUGAGCCCCAUCCUGACCACUUCCCCUUUCUAGUCAGCCCACGGGGCAGAGACCCUGGCGUCAUCUCUAGGCAACCAUCCCUUUUCCAGGGAAGCUCAUGACCCACGGCUGUCCAGAAGCCAGAAUCUUCUCACUGCCCCGUGUCGCUCCCGCAAGGCCUACCAGAGGACCCUCAUGGUGUGGUAGGGGGUCCUGGCAGGGGCCAGGGGCCAGGGUGGAGACUUGGCAGUGGGGGUGGGUUUGGUGUCCCCACAGACGAGUUUGCCGUGAGCAUUCCUGGAUGUGGCAACCUCAGUCUCAAGAAGAGCGACAGGACGCCAGCUCCCAUGCAGAGACAGAUCCAGGUAAGAAACCAGCUCAUGUGUGACAAACUCACCAUCUCACCAUGAAGGUGACUCUUGAAAGCUCCUGUGCACCUUGGAACUGCUGAGACAUCUUCUGCUUGGAGGAGGCAAGGGACAGGCUUCCUGUUUCUAAAGGCGUGUGAGUGGCGACCUUGAGAAAUGUGGCCAGUGGAGCAUUUUGACUGAGUUGGGUCCCCUCGUGCAAUACUGUGAGACAGAACUCCCAGCGAGGCCCACGGCCUCUGACCAUGGGGGUUGGAGUGGGGAAACCAAUUAGCCAUUUUGUUGAAUUGGCUGGUUCUGACUCAAAUGAGCAGUCACAUUAGUAAAAAUAGGCAAACGGAUGUGCAUUGUAUUUGCCCAGAGCGAAUGAGUUGUUAUCCAUUUCAGUAAUAAUGAUAACCAGAUAUGUCUGAUAAAUAUCUGAUAAUGUCUGAUAUAUGUCUGGUAAAUUUAACAAACACCGGGCUCUGGCUGGGUGCGGUGGCUCACACCUGUAAUCCCAGCACUUUGGGAGGCCAAGGCGGGUGGAUCACCUGAAGUCAGUAGUUCGAGACCAGCCUGGCCAACAUGGUGAAACCCCAUCUCUACUAAAAAUACAAAAAUUAGCUGGGCAUUUUGGUGUGAACCGGUAGUCCCAGCUACUCAGGAGGCUGAGGCGGGAGAAUUGCUUGGACCCGCGAGGUGGAGGUUGCAGUGAGCCAAGAUCACACCAUUGCGCUCCAGCCUGGGCAACAGAGCAAGACUCUAUCUCAAACAAACAAAACAAAACAUCUGGCUCAGAAGAUUCCUGAUUUGCA
rnacentral:lncRNA from 1 species